GCUUCCGUGGCACAGCUGGUAGUGCAACGCAUUCGUAAUGCGUGGGUCGCCGGUUCGAAUCCGGCCGGGAGCU
rnacentral:tRNA from 1 species